UCCGAGUUGUCCCCGGCAGUCCUCUUAGAGUCCCCGACAUAACUCGCUGGCAACUAAGAGCAGGGGUUGCGCUCGUUGCGGCACUUAAGCCAACACCUCACGGCACGAGCUGACGACAGCCAUGCAGCACCUGUGCUAGCCCCUUACGGACACGGGCUUUCACCCGCUUUAACUAGCAUGUCAAACCCAGGUAAGGUGGGGAUGACGUACUGGAAGCAAGCU
rnacentral:misc_RNA from 1 species